GACAGAGGGUGCAAACGUUGCUCGGAAUCACUGGGCGUAAAGGGCGUGUAGGCGGGCAGGAAAGUCAGAUGUGAAAUCCCUGGGCUCAACCCAGGAACUGCAUUUGAAACUCCCUUUCUUGAGUACCGGAGAGGAAGGUGGAAUACCUGGUGUAGAGGUGAAAUUCGUAGAUAUCAGGUGGAACACCAGUGGCGAAGGCGGCCUUCUGGACGGUAACUGACGCUGAGACGCGAAAGCGUGGGGAGCAAACAGG
rnacentral:rRNA from 1 species